UACCGGUAAACCCGUUACCUCACGUAACGCUGGCCGCUAUGAUGACAGGCCGCGGGAAUUCGAUUAGAGUUUGAUCCUGGCUCAGUAUUGAACGCUAACGGCGUGCUUAACACAUGCAAGUCGAGCGGCAGCACAGUAGUAGCAAUACUAUGGGUGGCGAGCGGCGGACGGGUGAGUAAUACAUAGGAAUCUGCCUUGUAGUGGGGGAUAACCCGGGGAAACUCGGGCUAAUACCGCAUAAUCUUUACGAAGCAAAGUGGGGGACCGUAAGGCCUCACGCUAUAAGAUGAGCCUAUGUCGGAUUAGCUAGUUGGUGGGGUAAAGGCCUACCAAGGCAACGAUCCGUAGCUGGUCUGAGAGGAUGAUCAGCCACACUGGGACUGAGACACGGCCCAGACUCCUACGGGAGGCAGCAGUGGGGAAUAUUGGACAAUGGGCGAAAGCCUGAUCCAGCAACGCCGUGUGUGUGAAGAAGGCCUUAGGGUUGUAAAGCACUUUUAGUGGGGAAGAAAAGUUCAAGGUUAAUAUCUUUGAAUGCUGACGUUACCCACAGAAAAAGCACUGGCUAACUCUGUGCCAGCAGCCGCGGUAAUACAGAGAGUGCAAGCGUUAAUCGGAAUUACUGGGCGUAAAGCGCACGUAGGUGGAUGUUUAAGUCGGAUGUGAAAGCCCUGGGCUUAACCUGUGAAUUGCAUUCUAUACUGGGCGUCUAGAGUAUAGUAGAGAGAAGUGGAAUUUCCGGUGUAGCGGUGAAAUGCGUAGAUAUCGGAAAUAACACCAGUGGCCGAAAGCGGCUUCCUGGACUAAUACUGACACUUAUGUGCGAACGCGUGGGUAGCAAACAGGAUUGCUACCCUGGUAGUCCACGCCGUCUACGAUGAUGACGAGAUGUUCGGAGAGCUUGCUCUUUAGCAUCGAAGCUAACGCGUUAAGUUACUCUCUUGGGAGUACGGCCCGCAAGGUUUAAAACUCAAUGCAAUGACAGUGCCCGCAUUAUGGUGGGAACUAUACGAUCAACUCCAUGCACGCUGAAAACCUACCUACCUUUGACAUACUGGGAUUCGUUAUAGUAAAGGACGGCCUCGGAACGAGAUCUGUUCUUGUUGCAUGUCCACUCUAGACUGUGACUUGGUAUUUCUACAGCGACUUUGCCUUAGUCAUUCCA
rnacentral:rRNA from 1 species